CGUGUUCAUUAGAGCAAAAGCAAAACAGCGCAGGGUGCGCGGGGGAUUCGCUCCGCCCAACACGCACACCUUUUAACAACAAGAGCUGUGCUUAAAUACAGUGAGGUGUUCCAUAUUCACAAUGACCCCAGGAACGCCUGUACAUAUUCAUAACCUUUCCCGCUUCUCAUUACAAGGAGUCUCGGAGAAGCAUUUCCAGUCUCCUCUUUGAGCCGCCCUGUUCGCCUGCGCUGUGUCACUUGGUGGUUUUGAGGAGGGUCUUUGGGGUCUUUGGAUGAGACUUCAUAAACAAGUCUCAUAACUUUUUACCUAGAACUUAACCACCUUUCCUUUUUCCAGCUUCAGAGCCCGAGCCUCAUUUGGUUACACCUGUAAACACUGAACAUCUCAGCACGAAUCGCAGCUGCAUUUCUCGCACUGUGAAGAUAUUUGGGUGCUGAACUCCGAGCUCAGCGCUGGCGGGGUGAAGUUCCUCCCUGAGGGGAUGAGGGGAGGAGGGGGCGGGGCCAAGGGCCGGCGGCGCGCGGGGCUGAGGCGGCGAGCUGCGAUUGGCCGGCCGGGACGCAGCGGCCGUUCCCGCCCGAGCCUUCGGGCGAGAGACAGAGCGGGAGUGCGGGGAGCGGCCGGGACGGGGCCGCCCCACAGAGUGCCCAGAGAGCGGGGUUCUGGGACUCUGCCCCGGGAACGAGCGACAGGAGGAGAGGGAACGGCCCCGAUGGUACCAGAGCCCGAAGGUCCCAGCGGGGUUUGGAUCAGCGUGUUCUGGAACAUUCUCAGUGGGUCAGGUCUGUGUCAAGAGUGUGGUGGAAACGAAAAGAGAGAAGGUGGAGAGAACAGUGGGGAGAUGGAGGAGCAAGAGUGAAGGUGAAUACCAGAGAGAGCAAGUGUGUGCAGACAAGCUCACGCGUUCUUCCAUCGAUCCUCAGCAUCGCUCCCAAAACAUUUUGCACUUCCCGAGGAACAAGCUGGAUCCAUUACCGCAGUUGUCCUGCCUGUGCCCGCAUAGCGCCUCUGCAACAAAAGGGAGCGAAUCCUCGGGGCUCGCAGCCAGGUAACCAUAACAGCUGGUGGAUUCAGCGCAGUGGGUGAGGCCUUGGCUGGCCAGCAAAGAAGAGACCGAUUGCAGUGGUGAUGACCCUGACCCUCAGACGUGUUGUCGCUUUCAGCAGCGGAUGCAGCCGGUGUUGAUCUUUGCAGAACAGAGCAGCGAUUAGUGGUUUGUUAUCGGCCAUGGCCACGGUUGUGAAGUUUGAUGGGAUGUGUUGUUUGAACUUCAAAGACCAUUCAGAAUCUAUACAUAAAAAGAUAACAGUUUUGGUGACCCAAACUCUCUCCAGUGCACAGGACGGUGAUCCUCUGUGCAGCAACAAGGCCUGUUAGCACAGUGCAAGUUGGGCUACGUUAAAGCAGUAGAGCAGCACUGGAUAGUGGGGGGAGGAUCAAUAAGUGUGUUAAUGACCUGGAUCACGGGAGGAACGUGUAUUGCAGUCCAAGAGUACAUGGACUUCAUAUUUUCUUUCAUUCUUUG